GAUGAACGCUGGCGGCGUGCCUAAUACAUGCAAGUCGAGCGAACAGACGAGGAGCUUGCUCCUCUGACGUUAGCGGCGGACGGGUGAGUAACACGUGGAUAACCUACCUAUAAGACUGGGAUAACUUCGGGAAACCGGAGCUAAUACCGGAUAAUAUAUUGAACCGCAUGGUUCAAUAGUGAAAGACGGUUUUGCUGUCACUUAUAGAUGGAUCCGCGCCGCAUUAGCUAGUUGGUAAGGUAACGGCUUACCAAGGCAACGAUGCGUAGCCGACCUGAGAGGGGGAUCGGCCACCCUGGAACUGAGACCCGGUCCAGACUCCUACGGGAGGCAGCAGUAGGGAAUCUUCCGCAAUGGGCGAAAGCCUGACGGAGCAACGCCGCGUGAGUGAUGAAGGUCUUCGGAUCGUAAAACUCUGUUAUUAGGGAAGAACAAAUGUGUAAGUAACUAUGCACGUCUUGACGGUACCUAAUCAGAAAGCCACGGCUAACUACGUG
rnacentral:rRNA from 1 species